rnacentral:rRNA from 1 species
AUGAAUUGCCUAAGUUGGAACUGCCAGGGGGCGGGGAACCCUCGGACAGUUCGCGACCUUGUAACACUAGUAGGUGCUCAUUCUCCAAAGUUUGUGUUUUUGCAUGAAACUAGAAAACAAAAAAACAAAAUGUUUGGUCUUCGCACUUGGUUAGGACAUGUUUGUUUUGAGGGGGUUAGUAGUGAAGGUCAAAGUGGAGGUAUUGCUUUAUUUUGGCAUGAGUCUGUAAUAGUUAAGUCAAGGAAGCUAAUAAAAAUUGGAUUGAUGUGUAUGUCCGCUUGGCUCUGA